CACGUAGGGCGCAAGCGUUGUCCGGAAUUAUUGGGCGUAAAGAGCUCGUAGGCGGUCUGUUGCGUCCGCUGUGAAAACUCGGGGCUUAACCCCGAGCCUGCAGUGGAUACGGGCAGACUAGAGGUAGGUAGGGGAGAAUGGAAUUCCCGGUGUAGCGGUGAAAUGCGCAGAUAUCGGGAGGAACACCGGUGGCGAAGGCGGGUCUCUGGGCCAAAACUGACGCUGAGGAGCGAAAGCGUGGGGAGCGAACAGG
rnacentral:rRNA from 1 species